rnacentral:rRNA from 1 species
UACGUAGGGUGCAAGCGUUAAUCGGAAUUACUGGGCGUAAAGCGCGCGCAGGCGGUUUUGCAAGUCAGAUGUGAAAUCCCCGGGCUUAACCUGGGAAUUGCAUUUGUGACUGCACGGCUAGAGUGUGUCAGAGGGGGGUAGAAUUCCACGUGUAGCAGUGAAAUGCGUAGAGAUGUGGAGGAAUACCGAUGGCGAAGGCAGCCCCCUGGGAUAACACUGACGCUCAUGCGCGAAAGCGUGGGGAGCAAACAGG